UUAGCGAAGAUUUUUGUGUUUAUUUAUUUUUUCCGUCGGCAGCCUAAAUCGCGUCAAGUAGUUGAGUUUUACAUAUUCACAAAAGAAAAUGCUUCCGAGAUUGAAUCCGUUGAAAACUAACGAAUAGUAAUAAUAAAAAAAAAAUAAUAAUAUAUAUCGCAUUUUAUCGUAAGCAGGCAGGCAUUAUACAUUUUUGAUAUAAAUCCGUCUUUGUUUUUUUUGUUUUA